rnacentral:rRNA from 1 species
ACCCGCUGAAUUUAAGCAUAUAACUAGGCGGAGGAAAAGAAACUAACCAGGAUUCCCUCAGUAACGGCGAGUGAAGCGGGAAAAGCUCAGACUGAAAAGCUUCGGCGUUGUAGUCUGGAGAAGUCAAAUCAGCUUAUAAUUUCGAGUAAAGUCUCCUGGAACGGAGCGCCGUGGAGGGUGAUAGCCCCGUUCAUGCUUGAAAUGAAAAGUGUACGAUUGGCUUUCUAAGAGUCGAGUUGUUUGGGAUUGCAGCUCUAAGUGGGUGGUAAAUUCCAUCUAAAGCUAAAUAUAAAUGGGAGACCGAUAGCGAACAAGUACCGUGAGGGAAAGAUGCAAAGAACUUUGAAAAGAGAGUUAAAUAGUACCUGAAAUUGCUGAAAUGGAACCGAUGGGAGGCAGUGUCGGCUGAGUAGUACUUGUACUGCUUAGCAAGUCAGGCUUCUUUAAUUAUGUGGGAAAGGCUUCUAGACCUGUAUGGGAUAGUUUCGCUGUCAUGUGAUUGAAGGACUCUGACGAAAUGCCUCUUAUCAACCCGUCUUGAAACACGGACCAAGG